AGGGUUUGAUUCUGGCUCAGAUUGAACGCUGGCGGCAGGCCUAACACAUGCAAGUCGAACGGUAGCACAGAGAGCUUGCUCUCGGGUGACGAGUGGCGGACGGGUGAGUAAUGUCUGGGAAACUGCCUGAUGGAGGGGGAUAACUACUGGAAACGGUAGCUAAUACCGCAUAACGUCGCAAGACCAAAGAGGGGGACCUUCGGGCCUCUUGCCAUCAGAUGUGCCCAGAUGGGAUUAGCUAGUAGGUGGGGUAACGGCUCACCUAGGCGACGAUCCCUAGCUGGUCUGAGAGGAUGACCAGCCACACUGGAACUGAGACACGGUCCAG
rnacentral:rRNA from 1 species